CGACCGGCGCACGGGUGAGUAACACGUAUGCAAAUCCACCUGUAACAGGGGGAUAACCCGGAGAAAUCCGGACUAAUACCCCAUAAUAUGGGCGCUCCGCAUGGAGAGUUCAUUAAAGAGAGCAAUUUUGGUUACAGACGAGCAUGCGCUCCAUUAGCCAGUUGGCGGGGUAACGGCCCACCAAGGCGACGAUGGAUAGGGGUUCUGAGAGGAAGGUCCCCCACAUUGGAACUGAGACACGGUCCAA
rnacentral:rRNA from 1 species